AACUCUUUAAGUAUAUAUACAGGGCCUUCAGGAAGACCCAAUGAACAAUUUUUGAGGACCUCUGCAUAGAAGCAGGGGUG
rnacentral:snRNA from 1 species